rnacentral:rRNA from 1 species
AUUGAACGCUGGCGGCAGGCCUAACACAUGCAAGUCGAGCGGCAGCGGGAAAGUAGCUUGCUACUUUUGCCGGCGAGCGGCGGACGGGUGAGUAAUGCCUGGGAAAUUGCCCAGUCGAGGGGGAUAACAGUUGGAAACGACUGCUAAUACCGCAUACGCCCUACGGGGGAAAGCAGGGGACCUCCGGGCGUUGCGCGAUUGGAUAUGCCCAGGUGGGAUUAGCUAGUUGGUGAGGUAAUGGCUCACCAAGGCGACGAUCCCUAGCUGGUCUGAGAGGAUGAUCAGCCACACUGGAACUGAGACACGGUACAGACUCCUACGGGAGGCAGCAGUGGGGAAUAUUGCACAAUGGGGGAAACCCUGAUGCAGCCAUGCCGCGUGUGUGAAGAAGGCCUUCGGGUUGUAAAGCACUUUCAGCGAGGAGGAAAGGUUGAUGCCUAAUACGUAUCAACUGUGACGUUACUCGCAGAAGAAGCACCGGCUAACUCCGUGCCAGCCGCCGCCGUAACAC